CCUUGCCAGCCCGCUCAGAACUCAAGAAUUGACGGGGCCGCACAAGCGGUGGAGUAUGUGGUUUAAUUCGAUGCAACGCGAAGAACCUUACCUGGUCUUGACAUCCCGGAGACCCUUAGGAAACUAGGGGGUGCUUCCAUCUGGAAGAAUCUGGAGACAGGUGCUGCAUGGCUGUCGUCAGCUCGUGUCGUGAGAUGUUGGGUUAAGUCCCGCAACGAGCGCAACCCUUGCCUUUAGUUGCCAGCAGUUCGGCUGGGCACUCUAAAGGGACUGCCGGUGUUAAACCGGAGGAAGGUGGGGAUGACGUCAAGUCCUCAUGGCCUUUAUGACCAGGGCUACACACGUACUACAAUGGCCGAUACAAAGGGCAGCGACACUGCGAGGUGAAGCCAAUCCCGUAAAAUCGGUCUCAGUCCGGAUUGGAGUCUGCAACUCGACUCCAUGAAGUUGGAAUCGCUAGUAAUCGUGGAUCAGCAUGCCACGGUGAAUACGUUCCCGGGCCUU
rnacentral:rRNA from 1 species